ACUGCAGCUCAGGGCCUCAGUGCUUUACUGUUGGGUAUUUACACUCAGUCUAAGAGGGCAGUCAAAGCAUGCCAUUGAACUUACAGCGAUGAAAGUUUAAAAUGAGCCCCUACAAAUGGCCACCCUCCAAUGUUAGUAAGUGGAACUAGUGUGAGAAGUGCAAAAAGCUGCAGUUUCCCAACAGUCUAUUUAAAGCUGGCUGCCAAAGUCAGUGAAAUAUCUUCAAGAGCCUAUAUUAUAGCAUCCAUUUUUACAAGUCUCGUUAAAAAGCAGCUUCUUAAAAUUUUAUAUCUUAUUUAUAACAUUUCAACAGACCAGGAUUUUGUUUCACAACUCAUCAAUUUAAAACUAUAUUUCAAUCUAUAUACUUGAGUCAGCCUCUGGACAACUCUGAGAAUGUUGAUGGGAAAAAGCAUUGUUUCUUUGGCCUACCCACUAGGGAAACACAGCUUCUACAAGGCCAACUGAACUGACUCCUGUGGUGCUCAAAGUACAGGAGUUCUGCAUGGGUAUGCAUGCAAAACCACUUCAACUUCUACUCCUCAAGCAUUUCUGCUCCCCAGCCAUGGUUGCUAUUAUCUGACAUGGCCAACCACAAAAAGGUAAGUAAGCAGAGUGUCACUCAAAGAUAUGCUGUUGUAAUAUACAGAUACACUUUCAAAGGGUCAAAUUCUGGCUGUUAUAUGUUGUGUAGCUGUGCUGGUUCUCCUGGAGCACUCGCCAAACUGAUUUGGGGCUUUAUUUUCGAGGCGGCAGGGGUGGCAGACCCCGCACAGUUGUAUUUUCGUCUGGCGGAGCCCAGCGUACAGCCAAUUUGGUAUUUUUGUGGACUGAGGCGCACCGAGAUCCGCCAAGCUGGGCGUGGUGGCGUGACAGGGGGAGGUGUCGACAGAAUCAGUGGGCGCAGUGACAUUUUCGUGCUCGCCACCGGCGUACAAAGUGCGCUGAAAGCUCGCCGAUUCACACAUACGUCACUAGCUACGUUUACAUGGAGCCAAAUAUUCCGAAUAUAAUCGGAUUAGAAGCCCAAUCGGAAUGAAAAUGCUCCAUAUAAACACCUCAUUCGGAAUAAACAGGCCCAUUCCGAAUGGAAUUUCAUUCCGAUUCACAGGGGUAGAAUAUUCCUUUUCCCAUUCCGAUUAAAAGCAAAAUCCUGUCAUGUAAACGGUGAAUCGGAAAGUUGUCAGGCUGGGUUCUGUCUGCGCAUGCUCUGUCCUGAUGUAAACAAGCAGUGACGUAUGACUCACAUGGAAACAUGAUGGCGGCUUCCAAGCAGAGCACGAUGCACUGGUCUGCGUCGGAGAUCACGUGAUCAAUCAAUCACGUGAUGUUUGAAGGUAUCACGUGUCUGUAAAUAGCUGUUCCGAUUGAAUGCCGUGGCACAUGUAAACACCAGAUCAGAAUAGAUUGCUUCCAUGUAAACAGUUCGCCUGGGAGCUUCAAUCGGAAUGAUUAUAAUCCGAAUGAGAAAAAAGUCUGCAUGUAAACGUGGCUACUGAUGCCUCAUCGGCAGGUUUCCACAGUUUCAGGCACAUUUCAGUGCAAUAAAUAAUCAUCAACAACUAAUAAUCUGAGUCAGCACAUACAUUUAGAUCUAUAUAGAUAUAAUCUGAUCUGAUGAGCGCGUUUGGACACACAACCUGACCGAAUCAACACAGCUGAAACCACAUUAAAUUAAAUUAAAUAUCUAGUAAAUAGACACACAUGAUGAAGUUAAAAAGAUAUGUAAUUCAUCUCCCUCCUGUUCUUUCUUCCUCUUCUUCUUAUUUCUCGUGCAGCCAGACCUGGGCAGGUCUCCAUGUCUUCUCCCCAUCCUGCUGCAGCUGCUGCUGCGGCAGCUGAACAGAUGAUUUGUAUCAGAGAUCAAAUGAGUUAUUUACUUUAAGCCGAAUACGGUAAAGAGCCAGACCAUGGAGCGCGAUGUGUCAUUAUGCACAGAUGGUUCCGAUUUUAAUGCCAUUUUUUUUUAUGAUGUGAUCUCUGCACACAACCCACCUUUGUCACGUGAGGUUUGAAUAUGUGCAACUUUAAGUGAGUGUCUUUAUUUGUGAAAAGGGAUGUUUGUCUUACCAGUGGGUACAACUUUACACACACCAAAUCCAUCUGUG
rnacentral:lncRNA from 1 species